rnacentral:rRNA from 1 species
AUACGUAGGGGGCGAGCGUUGUCCGGAAUGGUUGGGCGUAAAGGGCGCGUAGGCGGCCCGGUAAGUCUGGAGUGAAAGUCCUGUUUUUAAGAUGGGAAUUGCUUUGGAUACUGUCGGGCUUGAGUGCAGGAGAGGUAAGUGGAAUUCCCAGUGUAGCGGUGAAAUGCGUAGAGAUUGGGAGGAACACCAGUGGCGAAGGCGACUUACUGGACUGUAACUGACGCUGAGGCGCGAAAGUGUGGGGAGCAAACAGGAUUAGAUACCCUGGUAGUCCACACUGUAAACGAUGAAUGCUAGGUGUAAGAGGUAUCGACCCCUUUUGUGCCGGAGUCAACACAAUAAGCAUUCCGCCUGGGGAGUACGGCCGCAAGGUUGAAACUCAAAUGAAUUGGCGGGG